rnacentral:lncRNA from 1 species
GGGUGGCAAAAGCGCGGCGCAGGAGGCAGUGGAGUCCGGGCAAUGACGUCACGAGUGGCUAAAGCUGGGACGGGGGGCGUCGCGUUCCGAGGCCCCGCCCCCGCCUCGUGACGGGCCCGAUGACGUCACCGAUCGGCGGGGCGGGGCGCGCGUGCGCCACAGGCUGGCCUUCCGGUAGCGCGCGAGGGCCUGCACGUGGGUCGUGGUUCGACCCGGCGCGCUCUGGUCCGCGGGUGGAAGGGCCUCGCAGCCGUCUCCUGGAAGCUCUGCCGGGGACACGCGUGGGCGCGCGCGGCCUCCUUAGCGGUCCAGAGCCUGCGCUGCCAGUAGUACGCGCGCCCCAUGGCUGUGUGGGGCCCCACGCGCCCUCCUCGCCGCGCGGCUUCUUGCUUCCGCCCCGCGCUUCUCCAGCCUGCCUUCGGUGCCCGCUUCCUGCCCGCGCCCUUGGAACCGCUGGUGUCUGUGCGUUCACAGGCAGGGUCGUGCUACGUGGCCCGGGCCCCCAAAGCGCCGCGACUGCAGGCGCGCCCACCGCGCCGGGCUGAAUUUCCGAGAUGUUCUUGUCCUGCUUCCUCACUGCUGCUUCCUUCUUUCUCUGGUUCUGGGUCUUUAGCUUGAUUCCACAUCCCCCACCUCUAGGCCCACAGCCUGCUGAAAAGUCCUAUAGGCGACUGUCAGAAACGAGGUUUACACCCUCAGUCUACACAAGAAAGCAAAACGAUAUUGAAUAAACGAAUACACGGCUUUGGUUGGGUUUGUUUCAUUUCCUGUCCCGAGGACAGCUCCCUUCCACCUCCAUCACCCGCUGCAGCUGGAAGCCGGCAAGCUGAUGCACCGCUCACCUCACGUAUUAAUGGUUUACUCACUUUGUGUUUUUUUAAACAAUGUUUUUCUGAUAUUCCAUUUUCAUGACAUAUAAAUUUUGUCUAUGUGUUUGAAACACUGUUCAACAUGAACUUAUAAAUGCUUUUCUUUUCUGUUUUUUGGAGAUGGGGUCUCUGUUACCCAGGCUGGAGUGUAAUGUUUUGAUCACGGCUCACUACAUCUUCCACCUCUCAAGGUUCAGGUGAUCUUCCCCCAUCUGCAUGUAUUACUUUUUCAUUAUAAAAAAUGGUCUUUAUGAAUAUGAAUAUUCUUAAUUUGUUGCUGCCACUCUGAUUGCCAGUUUGCUUCUCAGCUGCUUUUCAUGUAACCUGAAUACAUGCCACUCCACAGACACUAACUACUUUCAAAAGACGCCAAUGGCCUCCUAAUUGACAAUGGCCUCACCCAUUAUUUCUCUACCUCACUCUCAGCCGCUGACACUGUUCACACCAUCUCUCACCCACAUUCAACAACUGAUAUUGAUAACACCAUCUCAUUCUCACAGCACUGGCACUGUAACACCAUCUCCUCACCCUCACUCAGUACCUGACAGUGAUAACGCCGUCUCCUCACCCUCACUCAACUACUGACAGUGACAACAGCAUCUUCUCACCCUCACUCAACUACUGACAGUGACAACACCAUCUGACCCUCAGUCAACACCUGACAGUGACAACAUCUUCUGACCCUCACUCAGCAACUGAAAGUGACAACAACAUUUCUUCACCCUCACUCAACAACUGACAAUGACAACACCUUCUCCUGACCCUCAACUACUGACAGGGACAACACCGUCUUCUCACCCUCACUCAAUAACUGACAGCAACAACACCAUCUCCUGACCCUCACUCAACUACUGACAGUAACACCAUCAUCUCCUGACCCUCACUCAACAUCUGACAGUGACAGACCAUCUCCUCUCUCUCACUCAACACCUGACAGUGAUAACACCUUCUCCUCACCCUCACUCAACUUCCAACAGUGACAACAGCAUCUCCUCACUGUCAGUCAACUACUGAUAGUGACAACACCAUCUCCUCACCCUCACUCAACACCUGAGAGUGACAACAGCAUCUCCUCAGCCUCAGUCAACAACUGACAGUGUACCCUCACUCAACAACUGACAGUGACAACACCAUCUCCUGACCCUCACUCAACUACUGACAGUGACAACACCGUCUCCUGUCUCCUUACCCUCACUCAACAACUGACAGUGACACCAUCUCCUCACCCUCACUCAACACCUGACAGUGACAACAGCAUCUCCUUACCCUCACUCAACACCUGAAAGUGACAACAGCAUCUCAGCCUCAUUCAAGAACUGACAGUGACAACAUCAUCUCCUCAGCCUCACUCAACAGCUGACAGUGACAACAUCAUCUAUACCCUCACUCAACACCUGACAGUGACAACAAUAUCUCCUCACCCUCUCUCAAGAACUGACAGUGGCAACACCAUCUCCUCACCCUCACUCAACUACUGACAGUGACAACACCAUCUCCUCACCCUCACUCAACACCUGACAGUGACACCACCAUCUCCUCACCCUCACUCAAGAACUGACAGUGACAUCACCAUCUCCUCAGCCUCACUCAACUACUGACAGUGACAACACCAUCUCCUGACCCUCACUCAGCUACUGACAGUGACAACACCAUCUCCUCACCCUCAUUCAACAACUGACAGUGACACCAUCUCCUCAC